rnacentral:rRNA from 1 species
GCACAAGCGGAGGAGCAUGUGGUUUAAUUCGAUGAUACGCGAGGAACCUUACCUGGGCUCGAACGUAAGAUGACUGUAGGUGAAAGCUUACAUCUCUUCGGAGCAUUUUACGAGGUGCUGCAUGGUUGUCGUCAGCUCGUGCCGUGAGGUGUCGGGUUAAGUCCCAUAACGAGCGCAACCCUACCUUUAGUUGCCAUCAGGUAAUGCUGGGGACUCUAAAGGAACUGCCUACGCAAGUAGUGAGGAAGGCGGGGAUGACGUCAAAUCAGCACGGCCCUUACGUCCAGGGCUACACACGUGCUACAAUGGCCGAUACAGAGGGCAGCUACCUGGUGACAGGAUGCAAAUCUCCAAAGUCGGUCUCAGUUCGGAUCGGAGUCUGCAACCCGACUCCGUGAAGUUGGAUUCGCUAGUAAUCGCGCAUCAGCCAUGGCGCGGUGAAUACGUUCCCGGGCCUU